UACGUAGGGUGCAAGCGUUGUCCGGAAUUAUUGGGCGUAAAGAGCUCGUAGGCGGUCUGUCGCGUCGGCUGUGAAAACCCGCGGCUCAACUGUGGGCUUGCAGUCGAUACGGGCAGGCUGGAGUUCGGUAGGGGAGACUGGAAUUCCUGGUGUAGCGGUGAAAUGCGCAGAUAUCAGGAGGAACACCGGUGGCGAAGGCGGGUCUCUGGGCCGAUAACUGACGCUGGAG
rnacentral:rRNA from 1 species